GGGGUAAAAGCUGAAGGAUGGGGUAAUUUUAUAAUUGUAACAUGGGCUGCCAAGUACAUGCCACACAUACAAUAUGGGACUCAAAAUAAAAAAAGGUUAUGAAUCGCUAGAAUAGAGAUUACUAGGUAGUGGCUUCUGUCAUGACAAAUGCUUGUGGGCCACCCAGGCAUAAUAAAAGUGCAGUAGAGCAGACUGGCAUAUAUCUUGAUCUGUAGGUGGGCAAACUGGCAUAUAUCUAUAGGUGGGCAAACCGAUACAUAUCGUAUAUAUCUAUAGGUAGGCAUAGUGGUAUAUAUCUAUAGGGAUUUCCUUUCUGAUCCACCAAUAGUCGGCUAUACCCCACUCACUUUUGGGGUGGUCCUGCAUCCUUGUUGCUCACAUAAAAACAAAUAGUGACCAAUACACAUUUUUGAGGAAGCGUUUCAUAACACAAGUUAAAUGAUAUUUCUUAACCAUUGUCUUUUGUCUUCCCACAGUCGGAGGGUCCGUACGAUGUUAUAAUUCCCCGAGCAACUGCCAACACUCACCCAGCUUCUAGUGCAAAUGCAACCAUACGGGCUGAUGAUGCUUAUGUGCCACACAACAGAAAUAAUGCAUCCAAUAACAUACAGUCUCAAUCGCCAUACACCAAGUGGUGAAAUCCCACCAACUACGCCAAUUGUCGAAAUCCGUGAUGGGCCCUCUCUUACUUUAUGUACAAACCAUGUUGGCAAGGGUGCCGAAACUGGGGGCACCGUGCUGUACUAACCUAUAGGACUUCAUUAUUCUCCAGCUGAUUAUCUUUGAUACAAUAUUUUCCUAACAUGUCAAAUUAUGGGUUACUGAUGGCUGUUUAUCAUAAGGACUUCUCGAGCACUGUUUAAAUGUUACUGUUUUUGAUACAGACUGAGAUCUAGCAUUUAAUAUCAACAUUCUAAAUCAAUACUGAUACAUUCAAUUCUAUGUACAAUCAGCCUUAAAGUUACAAACAAAUCGUUAACUAGUAAACACAGUACCGGCCCCUGGCAGAGUCACAUUUAGUGAUAUGAAGUCUUUAUGACGUUACUUUAUGCAGCUGUACUGAGUUACACACUUUGCACAAAUGCCUUUAAAUUAAAAAGGUUUAUUUUCAUGCCCCUCUGGUAGUAAGAGGGUAAAAUGCUGCUCCCCUAUGCUACUGAAUCUUUAGUGUCUUUCGUACAAAUCAGUCCUAUAAGUCCUUAGAUUUCACCUGUAUGUCAGCUACAGCUCCCCUCCCAAGUGCAGAGUCAAGUAAGGUAUAAAUUUAUAUUUUUGUGUAUAUUUUAUUUACAUAACUUUGUAUAUAAAGAUUAUUGUUUUUACACUUCGUGUGUGUGUGUGUGUGUAUGUGUUGUGUUUUGCAUGAGUGCGCUUGUCCUGUCUCUAAAGAGUAACCUGUCACUUCCUAGGAAUUAUAACAUUGUGUUUAUUGAUUCACUAUAUUUAAAACAUUAUUAUGUGGUUGUGAAGUCAGAAAAAUAAAAUUAAAUGUUGAAAUCUUCA